rnacentral:piRNA from 1 species
UGAUCAGUCUGUUCCAGGAAUAAUACCUACCU